ensembl:lncRNA novel transcript
AGAGUCAUCACCACUCCCUAAUCUCAAGUACCCAGGGACACAAAAACUGCGGAAGGCCGCAGGGACCUCUGCCUAGGAAAGCCAGGGUGAAGGUACGCUCGAGCGUGGUCAUUGAGGACAAGUCGACGAGAGAUCCCGAGUACGUCUACAGUCAGCCUUACGUCUGCAGGUGUACUCAACAGCUCCGAAGAGACAGCGACCAUCGAGAACGGGCCAUGAUGACGAUGGCGGUUUUGUCGAAAAGAAAAGGGGGAAAUGUGGGGAAAAGCAAGAGAGAUCAGAUUGUUACUGUGUCUGUGUAGAAAGAAGUAGACAUGGGAGACUCCAUUUUGUUAUGUGCUAAGAAAAAUUCUUCUGCCUUGAGAUUCUGUUAAUCUAUGACCUUACCCCCAACCCCGUGCUCUCUGAAACGUGUGCUGUGUCAACUCAGGGUUGAAUGGAUUAAGGGCGGUGCAGGAUGUGCUUUGUUAAACAGAUGCUUGAAGGCAGCAUGCUCCUUAAGAGUCAUCACCACUCCCUAAUCUCAAGUACCCAGGGACACAAAAACUGCGGAAGGCCGCAGGGACCUCUGCCUAGGAAAGCCAGGUAUUGUCCAAGGUUUCUCCCCAUGUGAUAGUCUGAAAUAUGGCCUCGUGGGAAGGGAAAGACCUGACCGUCCCCCAGCCCGACACCCGUAAAGGGUCUGUGCUGAGGAGGAUUAGUAAAAGAGGAAGGAAUGCCUCUUGCAGUUGAGACAAGAGGAAGGCAUCUGUCUCCUGCCUGUCCCUGGGCAAUGGAAUGUCUCGGUAUAAAACCUGAUUGUAUGCUCCAUCUACUGAGAUAGGGAAAAACCGCCUUAGGGCUGGAGGUGGGACCUGCGGGCAGCAAUACUGCUUUGUAAAGCACUGAGAUGUUUAUGUGUAUGCAUAUCCAAAAGCACAGCACUUAAUCCUUUACAUUGUCUAUGAUGCAAAGACCUUUGUUCACGUGUUUGUCUGCUGACCCUCUCCCCACAAUUGUCUUGUGACCCUGACACAUCCCCCUCUUUGAGAAACACCCACAGAUGAUCAAUAAAUACUAAGGGAACUCAGAGGCUGGCGGGAUCCUCCAUAUGCUGAAUGCUGGUUCCCCGGGUCCCCUUA